rnacentral:rRNA from 1 species
UACGUAGGGUGCGAGCGUUAAUCGGAAUUACUGGGCGUAAAGUGUGCGCAGGCGGCCGCGCAAGUCGAGUGUGAAAUCCCCGAGCUUAACUUGGGAAUUGCGCUCGAAACUACGUGGCUGGAGUGUGGCAGAGGAAGGUGGAAUUCCACGUGUAGCGGUGAAAUGCGUUGAUAUCGUUGGGAACACCGAAAGCGAAGGCAGGCCACUGGGUCUUUCCUGACACUGCUAGGACGAAAGCGUGGGGAGCGAAUGGG